GUACACGCUGUGACUAGCAUAUCAAUAAGCGGAGGAAAAGAAACUAACUAGGAUUCCCUCAGUAACGGCGAGUGAAGCGGGAAGAGCUCAAAUUUGAAAUCUUCAAGGUUCUACCUUGACGAAUUGUAGUUUAAAGAAGUGUUUUCUGUUGGAGUUUUGGUAAAAGUUCUUUGGAAUAGGACAUCAUAGAGGGUGAGAAUCCCGUAUUUGACCAUUAUUUUCAGCUUUGUGAUACACUUUCAAAGAGUCGGAUUGUUUGGGAAUGCAGUCCAAAAUGGGUGGUAAAUUUCAUCUAAAGCUAAAUACUGGCGAGAGACCGAUAGCGAACAAGUACCGUGAGGGAAAGAUGAAAAGAACUUUGAAAAGAGAGUUAAACAGUACGUGAAAUUGUCAAAAGGGAAGCGUUUGACACCAGUGUUGUUUUCUCGAAAAUCAAUUAAAAAGAGUUGGAUUUUGUGUUGUAUUGACCUUAAUCAGCUUUCUGCACUCUUUUCCUUGUCUUUUUUAAUGCACUUUUCGUUUAACAAGUCAACAUCAGUUCCUUUUGUUGUAAAAGGGUCAUUGGAAGGUGGCUUUCUUUUCGGAGAAAGUGUUUAUAGCCUUUGCUCUCUGCAAUCGGAGAGAUUGAGGUCUGCAGCGUAGAUCCUUCGGGGUUAGAUACAUUUGUGCUAAGUUAUAGCCUUUCAUAGACAACUUGUUGACUAUGAUCAGUCAUGUAGCUUACUCGCUUAUGCUAUUUUACCUACGCUUAGGAUGUUGAAGACUCUACAGAGAUA
rnacentral:rRNA from 1 species